CAGAAACAGUCAGCGCGGAGAGGACUGUGCAGCAGCUUCCAGGAACUGCCUCACUCACGCUUUGAUAUUCAUCCUCUGCAGAAAUCUGCUCAUCUCUGCAGCUUCAAAGCAGCACGCAGGAAUCAGAGAUGCUUACAUCAGCAGGAGACCUGGGAGAUGUUCUAUGGCAUCUCUGCCAUCGUACAGACUUCUCCAUCAAGGGCUUGAGCUGCAAAUAUGAAUAAAAAAAGUUCCCUGCUGUCAAGGUGAUCCUGGAUCAUCACAAGAGAGACAGCCGAUCUAAGUGAAGAGAGAAUGUAGCUCUGAUGGAGACAUAAGAUGUUGGGUUGAUACACAGUGAUGCCUUAUGGAACCCAAGGGCUGUCAAGCUUCGGGAGGUAUGGAAACAGGAAAUGAACAAGCAGGAGCCAGGACUGACUGAGCCUCUCAGUUUCCCAUUUCACAGUUUCUUCCCUCUGUACCUUCUCUCUCUCCUUGUUUGCCCACGUGACUGAAGUUGGCCACCCUUCAACUGACGGACACCCUUACAGAUGGCUGUCCCAUUGUAGUGUGGUGAGGUCAUACUAUAACAUAAGACGCCACAGCCAAAGUAGGAGGCUUGUAAAUGCAGGAGGCACCCCCAGGUACUUCUCAGAGAUGAUGAAAGGGAAGAGGAAGUGAGGGGCAGGCACAGGCGGUGGUUGUAAUUUGAGUCACUUAUGUCAGCUGUCUGUACCCUCUUUCAGACAGCUCGUUCCACUUCUCUGAGCCUGGAGAAGAGUGAACAAAAGCCUCGCUGGGUUUGGAGGAGGGAGGAGCUGCCCACUGCUCUCCCCAGGGAGCCCUGGAGCUGGCUGCCAUGUAGAUGCUCAUGGCAGGUGUGGAGAUGUGAGGCUGGCACAAGGCCAGACCCCAUUGUUUUGUGGACUGAGUAGGAAAAGCUCCUGCACAGAAACAACAGAGACUGGAGACCGUGUGUGGGAUUUUCUCUUUCCCUCAGCACAUCUCUACCUCCAUCCUGGUCCCGCUUUAGGAAGGAGGAGGUUUUGGGUGUUCUUGUCCCUAGCAGCCCACUGUUACCGCUGGAAUUCGUUUAAAGGCUCCAUUCCCAUAACCAAUUACAGGGCAAAGGCUUUUAGCAUGAAUUCGUCUUUCUGGGGUAGGCAUUUCAGAUCGCAAAGAGCCCUUUGGGAAAGCUGAACUUCAUCACUGGGGAAGGUGAGGGGAUGAAAAUGGGGUCACUGUCUUAGUUGAUAUCAGUUGGCAUUUCUCCCAAAAGCAAACACUUGUUUCAC
rnacentral:lncRNA from 1 species